UGCGUAGGCGGUUUGGUAAGUCUGAUGUGAAAUCUAUGGGCUCAACUCAUAGUCUGCAUCGGAAACUGCCGGGCUCGAGUGUGGGAGAGGUGAGUGGAAUUCCUGGUGUAGCGGUGAAAUGCGUAGAUAUCAGGAGGAACACCUGUGGCGAAAGCGGCUCACUGGACCAUAACUGACGCUGAUGCACGAAAGCUAGGGGAGCAAACAGGAUUAGAUACCCUGGUAGUCCUAGCCCUAAACCAUGACUGCUUGGUGUGACGGGUACCCAAUCCCGCCGUGCCGUAGCUAACGCGUUAAGCAGUCCGCCUGGGGAGUACGGUCGCAAGGCUGAA
rnacentral:rRNA from 1 species